AAAAGUAGCAUCAAAAC
rnacentral:sRNA from 1 species